GCCCGAGUGGUGAAAUGGUAGACACAGGAGACUUAAAAUCUCCCGACCUCAGGUCGUGCCGGUUCGAGUCCGGCCUCGGGCA
rnacentral:tRNA from 1 species